rnacentral:rRNA from 1 species
AUUGAACGCUGGCGGCAGGCUUAACACAUGCAAGUCGAGCGGGGGAAGGUAGCUUGCUACCGGACCUAGCGGCGGACGGGUGAGUAAUGCUUAGGAAUCUGCCUAUUAGUGGGGGACAACACCUCGAAAGGGAUGCUAAUACCGCAUACGUCCUACGGGAGAAAGCAGGGGAUCUUCGGACCUUGCGCUAAUCGAUGAGCCUAAGUCGGAUUAGCUAGUUGGUGGGGUAAAGGCCUACCAAGGCGACGAUCUGUAGCGGGUCUGAGAGGAUGAUCCGCCACACUGGGACUGAGACACGGCCCAGACUCCUACGGGAGGCAGCAGUGGGGAAUAUUGGACAAUGGGGGGAACCCUGAUCCAGCCAUGCCGCGUGUGUGAAGAAGGCCUUAUGGUUGUAAAGCACUUUAAGCGAGGAGGAGGCUACUUUAGUUAAUACCUAGAGAUAGUGGACGUUACUCGCAGAAUAAGCACCGGCUAACUCUGUGCCAGCCGCCGCGGUAA